UGCGGGAGCGGGCUUGCUCGCGAUAGCGGUGCGUCAGUCAACAUUGAUAGCGACUGACCUACCGCUAUCGCGAGCAAGCCCGCUCCCACA
rnacentral:misc_RNA from 1 species